AGUGAGUUGGAUGAGUCAGGGUCGGAGGACGACGAUGAUGUAGAAACUGAAGAAUCUAACUACACGACUGAUACUGAUGAAGGUGAUCUUGAUGAUAUUUAUGACGACGAAACACCUGAAUUGCCGGUGGAAAAUAUUCCAGAAAUUGACAAGGAAACGCACAGACUCGCUGUUGUUAACUUGGAUUGGAGGCACGUGAAGGCUGUUG
rnacentral:misc_RNA from 1 species